rnacentral:lncRNA from 1 species
UUUCUAAGCCCCUUUGAGCUGGAUGAUUUUGUGGCAUCUGUGAAAUGUAACUAUUCUACAUUAUUGUUUGAUUCCAUUCAUGUUUCCCUUUUGCAAACAUUACGGAAGCAUUUGAUGUCGCUUUCCAAUGAAGGUGACAUGUCCUCAUCUAAUUGUCUCAGGUAUUUAGUUUACUUUCAUUCCAAAAGUUAUGCAUUUGACAUCCCCUUCCUUGGCUCUUAUUCUUUUCUAUUCAAUUUGUUAAUUAGGUCUCUUAAUUGGGAUUUGCUGGACUUGAUCACAUGGCCCAUGUUUGCGGUUGAGUAUCUGUUGCUGUACAGUUCUGAAUACAUACCUGGCUUUGAUCUGUGUCACUUGAAGCUUUCUCAGAGCGACUAUUACAAAAUACCUGUGUCGACAAAGAUUGAGAUACUGCAGCGCCUUUGUGAUGAUGCGAUGGAAGUAGAAUCCAUCAGGUUAGAGAUAAAUAGAAGGACACUGGCAACAGAACGCCAAGGGGGUUUUGUUCGGACUACGAAGUCUGACAGCUCCAAGAAAAGAAAGGCUAUGAUGGAUGUUGCUAGCAGUUCUUGCAUCACAGAGGAGGAUGUUGAAGAAACUGCAGAUUGGAACAGUGAUGAAUGCCGCCUAUGUAAGAUGGAUGGAAACUUAAUAUGUUGUGACGGUUGUCCUGCGGCAUUUCAUUCCAGGUGCGUAGGAGUUGUCAGCAGCCUGUUGCCAGAGGGGGAUUGGUAUUGCCCUGAAUGUGCAAUUAACAAGGAUAAGCCUUGGAUGAAAAUGGAGAAGUCUAUUCGAGGAGCAGAACUGUUGGGAAUGGAUCCUUACCACCGACAAUAUUAUAGCAGCUGUGGUUAUCUGUUGGUGUAAGUUCCUUUCUUUAUAAAAACCAAGAAAAUUACGUGAAUUUAAUUUUUGUGAAUGGUUAAUCUAUCAUUUAGGUCCAUAAACGGAAUAAUUCAUAAGUUGGUAGACAGAUCUUAUAAAUGUCUGAGUUUUGUGAUGUUUUAAUAAUCGUAAAGUUGCUGCGUCUUGCAUGGUAGUGAAAAUAUAGAAGGUAUAUAUUACAAAAUACAUUGACUUAAUGACUGAUAUUUCGAGAUCCAUUUCUAAACAGUCUAAGCAUAGCCCCUAUUUGACAACCAUUAUAAUAAUAAAUUUGGAUAAAAUGUAUUUUAGAAUAGUAAAUUUUGGAAAAAUGUGUGGUUAAAAAGAGAAGGAAAAGUUUUUGAUUUACUUGUAAUAUUAUUUAAUUAAAAAAUGUGAUUGAAAAUAAGAGAGAGAAAAAUGUAUUAAAAUUUUAAUGAGAACCAUAAAAGGGCAUACUUUUUUUUAUAAGCUCUAGCUUUUCUUAAUGCUUCGACGAUGCUGAAUCAAAGUUCAGCCUCUAUCCUUUCUGCCUAUUGCUUGGCUAAUGUGCAUGUAUACUUGAUUUCUAUGAUGCUCGGACUCUUCAGUCCGGUCGGAGUACCCGUAUCGACACGACUCGACAUGGGUAUGAGUAUGAGACAUGGGGCGGACAUGGUACUUUGCAACCGUACACAGCAUGGUGGAGAAAGCGACAGCACUAAUGGAGAAAACAUCCGAUGAAAUUCACGGCCAUGAUUGGAAAUUGAGACGCCGCUUCAUAAAUAACCUUCUUCGCCACAUUAGCAUUCGUUAAAAUCGAUGUGAAAUAUACAUACACACACACACAAAAUUGUGAAUAUCGGAGGUGAACAAGAGCGUUGCUACCAACUUACCUACUCUAUUAAAGUAAACUUGAUUUUUGCGAUGUUCAGACUCUUCAGUCCUGCCGGAGUACCCGUGUCGACUCGACACGACACAGGUACGGGUAUGAGAUAUGGGGUGGACACACUACUUUACAAUCGGACACGGCAUGGUGGAGAAAGCAGCAACACUAAUGUAGUAAACAUCCAACGAAAUUCACGGCCAUGAUUCAUCGUCAUCAACAGCGGCAGAAAAAUUUGGGGGUUUACAUGUGAGUAUUCAGGAAGUGAGAACGAAGUAAAAUGGUUGUCGCGUAAAGGGCGGAGAUAGGAGACGAUUAUGAAAAUGAGACAGCGGUGGGAAUGGAUGUAGGGUAACGUAGAGUUAAAAGGCAAACGGACAAUUUCUAGAACAGCCCACCUAACUAGCUUAAGAAAAAAGAGUGUUUAUAGGUGGAAGCACUAACUUUAAGAGUUUCAUGGGCUUCCUAUUUCUUGGCCCAUUUCUCCAAUAGCCCAACUAAUUGGGUUAAGAAAAAAGAGGCAGUCUUCUCCAAUUUAUUCCUUAAGACUAGCGGGUGCCUCUUUUCCAAUUCUCGCCAAUCAAAUCAAAAAGAGCUCUACUUUUAAAAAAAUAACUUCUAAAUACAUUCAAAUAUUAUACAAAAGUUUACUUUAUUUUAGUCCUUUUGAAGUUUCAAAGACGUACCCACAUAUCCGUGUCCGAAAUUUGGACCUUUUUUAGUCAUGUCUUCGUAUCUUACAUUUUAGAAAAUAGAAGGUUCGACACUUAUAUAUGUACCUGUACCAAGUCCGAGCAUCAUAGGUUGAUUUAGUGCUAUUGCAUUUGAAUUUGUUGGAAAAGGUUUCUGUCCAUUGCUAGUUGUGGAAGAAAGAAACAUCGAUUUCUUUUGGAUUGCGUUUGGUGAUACAUUAUCAACCUGAUGUUGGUGUUGGAUGCUCACAGUAUCCAAUAUCAUGAUGAUAGUUUCAAUUUGGUAAUCAUAAGUUGGCUUAUUAGGGUGGGCAUUAAAUGGAGGGCAUGCAUAUUUAUUUUUGCCUAUUGUGAUGGCUACAAUGCACUUGGAAGGGGAUUGAGCUAUUGCUUAUUAUAUGUUUAUUUCUUUACUGGCUGCAGUGAUCAUGACUCCUUUGGCAUGUUCUAAUUCAAACUAUAGUGGUGCAAGCCUCCUAUCCCGAACCGUAGUUUUGUUGGUUAAAAAAAAAAAAAUAAUAAUAAUAAUAAUAAAAUAAAAAAACCGUUUGGCUGUGCUUAGAAGUUAUUUUUGUAGAAUCUAGUAAUUUUUGUUAACAAAACAAGCAAGUUGGAAAAGCACAUUUGGCAAAAUAAGUAACUUUUACUUGAGCUAAACAUACUUGAGCCUUGUUCCCAAUAAAUAUGGAGUUAUCUACACGUGUCUAAUUUCACUACUCUAACUGCUCCCUGAUUGAACGAGAUUCUUUCCAGUAACAGAAGGAGACUUGGUCCAAUGCAUAAGACCAUUGUAUGGACUAUAUUUCAACAGUACAAGACUUGUCCUUACCUCGUGCAAUGAAGUGUUUAGUCCCGUUAUUAAGAAGGAGAUGAUGCCGAGAAGGAUUAAAUAGUUGAUAGCGAGCAAUCAUCUAGAAAGGUUGAAUUAUCGUUCAUAUGAAACGAGAGUAAUGAAGUACCUAUUUUUUGGAAUUUAAUAGUCAAUCUUCUUUUGUAAUUGAGUUGUAACAACUGCAAAUAUUCCCUCCCUCUUUGACUUUGAUCGAUUUACCUGCAGAAUGUGCAAUGGUCUUAAUAUUCAGUCGAAAAAAAGGAAAAUAUGCCAUUGAGUUAAAUUAAUAAAAUUUUACUUACUUAACAGGACAACAAGAAAGCCAUGACCUAUUUGAUCCUUCAGCCAUUUGGGCUUCAAUUUCAAGAGCGGAUUAGUGAUCUGACGCUUCUCUCCAUUCAUUAUUUAUUUGUUUCGUAUUUUAAUGCAACUUGUUAUAUCUACUAUUUUUUUCUUUACUGUUAUAACAACCUUGUAAUUGGGAAGAAUGCGGGAUAGUUCGUCGAGAGGAUUCAUGACUACAUAUAUCAAAAGAUCCAAUAUCAACCAAUCCUUUGCAACAUUUUAAAUUAUCUCAUCUAAAAGUUUAAGUUGUUAAAGGACAUAACACGUACUCAUGCAAGCCAUAUUCAUUUUGUAACUUGUGUGCACAACUUCUAUAUAUGGACAGUGGCAUGCCUUGAGCUUAAGAUUCCUGGCUUCUUUGAUACCAUGUUGAACCAUUUUAUAUUAGCUUAAGCUAUUAGAGAAAGACGUGUAUUCAAAUUUCGUCGCCAACACGACCACAUCACAUUAUGUUAUUUUGGUCUCGUCUUACUAAUUAUUAAUAAUAAUUUGUAAUAUUGUAGUUUACAACUACGAAAGAAAAUAACCUCCCCUUUGUCUUCAUGGUACGUUAUGUCUUGAACAUAAACACACACUAUACUUUUCAACACAUUUGUGGUCUAUUGCUUUAAACCGCCCAACUACUCUUCACUUCUUGGCCGAGUCACCCCCUCAUUUAACCUAUUUUGUGUUGAUGCCAGCUCCUAUUCGAGUUUUAGUAAAAUGUUCGCUUCUUUGUCACUAGGUUUCCAUUUGAUUUUGUUUUGGAUAAGAUGAUGGAAGAUUUAACAAGCUACGACUUGAAUACAUGAUCAAUACUUUAACAAAAUUCAUUAUAGCUUUUUAAUCUACUAGCAAACUAGACCUCAAAAGAAUAUAGAUAAAAAUUUUCUCAGAGUCUUCUCUCUUUAUAUGUUUUACCAUACACGCUAAGACUAGAAAGAAAAGAAUUGUGAUUAAAAGCAGAGCUUUAUGCUCUCAGAGUGAAGAGUUUCUCCUCUUGUUAAAAAUGUUUGCUGGAAAUUCUUCUGUAAAAAAGAGAAUACCAUUUUAGAAUUUUGAAAAUCAUUUAAUUGAAUAAAGACAACAUGUUAGCACAUGUGCACCACUUUAAUAAUAAGAGAGGGGAUAGAACACUCAAUUUCACAACUUCUGUAGUAUAUUCUAUAGUUCAUACCGAUAUAUGAAUUUAUGUUUUUAUGCAUUGCCAUCAUUACAACAACUAAUUAAGACUAUAUGAUUCUUUUUCCAUUACGCCAAUAGGUUCAUUGUUAGAUAUAUUGGGAGACAAGUUUUUUCAUCCUUAGUAACUACUACAGCCAUGUUGUUUAUCCCUUUUUUGAUUUGUUCUACCAACAUCAUCACUCUUAUAGUGGGAGCCUUUUUAAGUUCAUGCAAAGCAUGUACUAACCACUUAUGUUCCUCCUAUAUUUUAUCCUCAAUUCCAAUCGGCACUACAUCCACUGGUUGGUGCAAAAUAAUUUUUAUUGGGUAUUUAAUAUAUCUAUUCUAGUUAUGGAGUUACUAACUACUAGGGCAUUAAUUGUACAUUUUUACGUUUUAAAUGUUAAAUAACAUUAGCUUUACUCAAAAAAGAGGAAGAAAAAUUUAAAGAGAUGUCUUGAGGCGUAAUCAACUAUAGCCCCUCUUAAGCACCUAAUUUUCAAUUCACAAAAUGCCUUGACAUGUGAAGAGCAGUUAGAUGGGGCAGAAGUGUAUCAAUUAACAAAAAAAAAAAAAAAAAAAGAAGAAUGUAUUUGAGUGUAUAUUAACUUGGCAUUCCCGUCAGACCAAGAAAUAAACUGUCUAAUGUGGGACCUAUGCAUUGUUUUAAAGGAUGUUUGAGUCUUGCAUUAAACACCUCGAUGCUUAUGUCUCGAUUGCCAUUUGUCAAGGCUUACACCUCAAAUUAUUGAGAUUUACUCCUCAAGGCUAGUUUUUUCAUUAUAGGCCUAAGCUAUUUGGGCUAUUAUUUCACUAGUCUAUAUGCCUUGUACAUAAGGGAAGGAUAAGAUGUCAUUGCAAGUGGAUACUUACAAAGAAUGAAAAGGAGUUAAUUGUUCCAAUGGUCACUCAACUUAGGUCCAUAUCUUUGAUUGAUUAUUGAAAUUUAAAAUGUCGAGUUUUGAUCACUGAAUUUAGGUCAAUGUCUUUUAUUGUUCACUAAACUUAUGUCAAUGUUUUCAAUUGCUCACUGAAGUUUAAAAUGUCGAGUUUUGAUCACUGACCUUUGAAAAAUGUUGUACAUUACUCAAUGAACUUUGGAAUAUGUCGUACGUUACUCACGAGCAUAAUUGAUGAAUUAUGAAAAAUAUCGAGUUUACAGUAAGUAAUAUACAAUAUUUUUCAAAAUUCAGUGACUAAUGUACAAAAUUUUUCAAAAUUUAGUGGUCAAAACUCUACAUUUUAAAGUUCAGUGGCCAAUCAAAGACAUGGAUCUAAGUUCAGUGACCAUUGGAACAAUUAACUCAAUAAAAAGUAACUUCAAUAGUGUGAGGAGGAUGAUAAGGGGGUUCAAAUAUGUUGAUGAUUUCUCUUAAAAGUCCCAUGCAAUGAUGAUAUGAGAGACUUGUAGGUUGUUUCCUCUUAGUAGUGCACUACAAUUUUGGUACGUGAUUAUUAAGUUGAGAAUAUACUAUUUACUACUUUAUUCGUCUAUUUUAGGUUUAUCUGCAAAUUAGACUUAAUGUUGUUAAAUUUGUUUUAUUAUGGAUUUUUAAGAUGGUAUAUGGGUUGUUAUGGACAUAAAUUUUGUAUUCUCGUAUUCUUUUGAAUUGUUCUAUUGGUUUGUCUUGAUGUUGGCUUAUGCACAGCCUCACUGAGGUAAAAUUUCUCAGUACCCAAUUGAAUCUUUUUAUAUAUCAUGAUAUCAGCUGGUUAAAUAAUGCCAUUUUUGAUUGGUGGAUUCUUAGUAGCUAGCAUGGUCAACCUAAACACUAACCGCUUAGUUUAGUACUUUGAAAGAGUGCGUAAUGUAACUUGAUUCAUUUAUUGAUCUUUUAUCCAUUAACAUUGUUGUUCAUUUAGUUUUGAGCUGCUACAACUUUUAAACUGAGAGCUAGAUUGUUCUUAAAUGUGAUAUAUUUCCCUAGAUUUGAUCUACGUGCAUUAGAAGUUCUAAUUCUAGAAACCACAAAAACCGGUGUUUAUGUCAGUCACGAUCAUUAGAUUAUUUUACUCAAUCGAUCACUGCACUUCCAAAUUUUGCUGAGAAAGUUAUAUUAUGCUUUCUUUAUAUCCUCUUUCCAGUAGGCGCUGCAAUUAUCUUACAAUAAUGAACUUACCUUGUCCAUGUUUUCCAUGAAGUUCAAAUCUCUUGUUAUUAUUGGCCUUGUGAUUCUGUUUUGAUUAUUAACCUGUUAUUAAUUAACGAUGCAAUUCCUCAUUACUUUGUGUUUCUCUUUUAGUCGUAUAAUUUAUGGUGUUUUGAUCGUUUUGGCUUUGUACGUGCGUGUUGCUUUAAAUGUAUGCUGACUUCUGCAUGACGAUACUAGCAGGUCAGAGUUAUGCAAUGAUGAAUAUUCGUUUUGGUACUACCAUAAAAAUGAUUUACCCAGCAUUAUAGAUGCACUAGAGUCAUCCCCAUUUGUAUAUGGCACAAUAAUAACUGCUGUUAGUAAGCAUUGGAAUGUCACUUAUGGAGAUGAUGGGUCAAAAACUGAUUUGGAUGCUCACUCCUUCUCUAUACAAUCUCUUUUUCCUAUAAAAGGGCUGCUGCCUCAUAUGCAUCCUAUACCUUCAGAAGCACAUAUCAAGGAUGUUGCUGAAAGAAAGUCGGAAGAAAAAUCCAUCGUCUCUACUUACCCUAGUAACAUAGAACCUGGGGUUCCGGAGUGUGUCAAUAUGAUGUUGGGGACUGAUAACCAUGGUGCAAAGAUGGAAAAUCGAUUGGCAAGUUCUGAAGGAUCAGCCGAAGUCUCCCAAUCAGUGACUAACACUGAUAACAUUAAGGAAAGUGGGCAGGAUUGUUCAGAAAGAGGCACUGGUAUAUCAUCAUAUAAUUCUGAAAUUCCAUCGAAGUUUGUGAACUCUGGAAAUCAUUAUUUAACAUCUACUAUCUUAGAAAUUGAACAAAGAACGAAUCUCAUUUCUGCAAAUCAUGGCCGUGCCCCAUCCAUCAUAGAUCCUUGUGGAAUUAUGCCUCAAGGGUGUUGUGCGGCAACUUAUGUUAACUUCUAUGAAUUUGCUUGGACAACAUCAUCAGUUGUUGAAGCGUUAAUGCGUAAAUCAUCAGAAAAGACAUCUGAAAAAAUCAUAAGAUCAGAAGAAGAGGUUAUUAUCGGGCAGUUGAAGGUUAUAUCAAGUAAAUCUGCUUAUUUAUGCUGGCCGAAUAUUCAAAAUUUAAUUGCAAAGAGUAGGAAAGAAAAAUGUGGGUGGUGCUUCACUUGCCAAGGUCCUGAAGAGGAAAGGGACUGCUUAUUCAUUGUGAAUGAAAAUGGUCCUGCUGUUGAAAAUUUUACUAGUGAGGUUUUGGGUUUUCGGUCUAGAAAGAACAUGAAAAGCCAUCUUAUUGAUGUCAUGUGCCAUAUUAUUUGCACUGAAGAUCGUCUACAAGGGCUUCUGUUGGGCCCAUGGUUAGAUCCUCAAUAUUCCGAGCUUUGGCGUAAAAGCGUUCUUGGAGUGUCUGACAUUGCUUCAUUGAAAUGUUUUCUACUCAAGGUAAGAAUAUUUCCUUAUUGGAUCUCUAAGUUUAUAUACUUGUGGAUAUAUAUUUAAAUUUUUACUGAUGCUGAGGUGUUAAACUCCAAAGAUUAUUGUCUUCUUAAAGAAAUAGUCUGUCCUUUUUAAAAUGAUUGUCAGAAAGUAUCUUUCGUUCACGUGAGAGCUCAUCAUCUGGCUGUGUCUGAACAGGUAUUUUUUGACCUUGUUAACAACGCUCAGCCUUGUGAAUUAUCACAGAGAAUAAAUCUUGGUUUGCUUUGACAACUUGCAGAACUAUUUAUUAUCAAGAAUGGGAUGAUGAUAUGGUCCAAUAUAGCAAACCACAACAUAUUGUGCAGGAUCUGGGCUUGAGUUUCUUUUGAUGAGAACAAUAGCCAUAGGCUGUUCAUUUUAACUGACUUUCACAGUAGAAGUAAAAUGAUCUGUUGCAGUUGGAUAUUGUCUGAAGUUUUAAUUUGGAAACAGUGAAUUUGAUUAUAUAUACAUUGGCAACAGGUGAUAAAUUUAGAAAAAAAAAUAGUAAACGAAAAGCUUCCUUAUUAAAAAUACCUGAUGGGGUAUGCCAGCCACUCAAGUCUAGUAAAUUUCGAUAAUCUGAAAUUUUCCUUUGGCAUUUUGAGGCUCAAGGGCGUAACAAUGUUUUCAAAAGUAUACAUACAUGCACACAUCAUAAUUCCAGGAAGAUAGAUAAUGAAAUAUGCUAAUCUAUUUCUCAGCUCCAGAAAACAUUGUUGAUGGCCUUAGAAUGUAGAAAUUUUACCAUCUUAUAUUUCUAGACUACAAAAGUACAUUAAGUUUAAAUGACAAAAAACGCAUAUUCCGGAACAGAAUAAAACAUGGAUAUAAGAUGAAUCUUUGUCUUAUCUUUUCAUUUCCCUCUUUUCGGCUUUGAAACAUUUCUAUUCGUGUUUUCCCUAUUGCACUUCAUACUAGUUAUCUGAUUAUUUGCAACUUUCAACACCAGCUAGAGUCAAACUUGCAUCUUCGAGCACUUUCAGCAGAUUGGCUGAAGUACGUGGAUUCUGUUCCUACGAUGGGUUCUGCUUCUCAUGUUGUGAGAAAUUCUGUACGAGCGUCCAUGAAACAUGGAAUUGGCAGGAAGAGAGCUAGGUUUUUGGAGCUGGAUACAACUUCAUCUUCAAGUUCUGCAAAUGGAUUGAUCUUAUUUUGGUGGAGAGGUGGGAGAAUUUCACGUCAGCUGUUCAAUUGGAAGGUUCUGCCUCGCUCUUUAGCUUCCAAAGCUGCCCGACAAGGUCUGGAGUAUCUAUUCUUCUGUUUAAACUUAGAUCCUUGUGGAAAACACACUUUUCUGAAUAUGUUUGAAGUUUAAACUGUUGCAGGUGGAUGCAAGAAGAUACCAGGCAUCCUUUACCCUGAGAGUGGAGAAUACGCAAAAAGGAGUAAAUGUGUUGCCUGGCGAGCUUCUGUUGAGACAUCAAUAAGCGUGGAACAGCUUGCUUUCCAGGCAUGUCUCUCUUAUGAUUCAAUAUGCCUCCCACCUUCAUUCCAAUAUUUGCUUUCCAUUCACCUUGGCCUAAAGGCCAACCAGAUGUAAAAUGAUUGCUGGCGCCAAACUCUCUAAAGGGCCUGCCUUUUCUUUUAUUAUAUUUUAUUCACCAAGUGAUGGUCUAUGGGAAUUUAGUCUAGCUGUCAAAGAAUAUCACAUUUAUGAUACUUAAAUUUGUUUAGAUUCCUGGUCUGUACGAUGAAAACAUUCUCUGAACAGCUAUUGGCUCUACAUUUUACCCCAUCCAACAGGGGAAAGAGAUAAGAACAAAGCAAUAUGUUGCAACUUAACUAAGGGGGUGUUUGAUAUCCAUUUUCUUGUAAAAAUGCAUUUUAGAAUAAUAAAUUGAUGGGAAAUGUGUGGUUGAAAAAUAAGGAAAUUUUUUUGAUUUACGUAUAAUAUUAUUUUAAUAAAGAAUGUGUGGUUGAAAAGAAGAGAAAAAAAUGCAUUUUGAAAAAAAUGAGUACCAAACGGGGCCUAAGUUAUUUGUCGUUGACAUUUUUCAUGUGCCCAGGUCAGAGAGCUUGAUGCAAAUAUCAGAUGGGAUGACAUUGGGAACCCGAACCUUCUAUCAAAGAUGGACAAGGAGUCCAAAAAGUCAGCCAAAUUAUUCAAAAAAGUUAUUAUACGUAGAAAGUGCUCUGAGGGAUCAGUGGUUAGGUAUCUUCUUGAUUUUGGCAAGAGAAGAUUUAUCCCUGAUAUUGUUGUGAUACACGGAUCCAUGCUUGAAGAUUCCUCUAGUGAAAGGAAGAAAUAUUGGCUGGAAGAGUCUCAUGUUCCAUUGCAUCUCCUGAAAACGUUUGAAGAGAAAAGAAUUGCUCGCAAAUCAAAUAAGACAUGCUCUGGAAAACUUCGUGAGAGCAGUGUGGUAACGAAUAAAACCUUCAAGGAAAAGGGAUUUUCAUACCUUUUCUCAAGAGCAGAGAGAUUGGAAAAUUAUCAGUGUGGACACUGUAACAAAGAUGUUCUCAUCAGGUAUGAUAUGAUUAUUAAUUGUU